rnacentral:rRNA from 1 species
GUGGGGUGCUAAUACAUGCAAGUCGAGCGGACAGAUGGGAGCUUGCUCCCUGAUGUUAGCGGCGGACGGGUGAGUAACACGUGGGUAACCUGCCUGUAAGACUGGGAUAACUCCGGGAAACCGGGGCUAAUACCGGAUGGUUGUUUGAACCGCAUGGUUCAGACAUAAAAGGUGGCUUCGGCUACCACUUACAGAUGGACCCGCGGCGCAUUAGCUAGUUGGUGAGGUAACGGCUCACCAAGGCGACGAUGCGUAGCCGACCUGAGAGGGUGAUCGGCCACACUGGGACUGAGACACGGCCCAGACUCCUACGGGAGGCAGCAGUAGGGAAUCUUCCGCAAUGGACGAAAGUCUGACGGAGCAACGCCGCGUGAGUGAUGAAGGUUUUCGGAUCGUAAAGCUCUGUUGUUAGGGAAGAACAAGUGCCGUUCAAAUAGGGCGGCACCUUGACGGUACCUAACCAGAAAGCCACGGCUAACUACGUGCCAGCAGCCGCGGUAAUACGUAGGUGGCAAGCGUUGUCCGGAAUUAUUGGGCGUAAAGGGCUCGCAGGCGGUUUCUUAAGUCUGAUGUGAAAGCCCCCGGCUCAACCGGGGAGGGUCAUUGGAAACUGGGGAACUUGAGUGCAGAAGAGGAGAGUGGAAUUCCACGUGUAGCGGUGAAAUGCGUAGAGAUGUGGAGGAACACCAGUGGCGAAGGCGACUCUCUGGUCUGUAACUGACGCUGAGGAGCGAAAGCUGACCCC